GACGUAGGGCGCGAGCGUUGUCCGGAUUUAUUGGGCGUAAAGAGCUCGUAGGCGGCUUGUCGCGUCGACUGUGAAAUCCCGCGGCUCAACUGCGGGUCUGCAGUCGAUACGGGCAGGCUAGAGUUCGGUAGGGGAGACUGGAAUUCCUGGUGUAGCGGUGAAAUGCGCAGAUAUCAGGAGGAACACCGAUGGCGAAGGCAGGUCUCUGGGCCGAUACUGACGCUGAGGCGCGAAAGCGUGGGGAGCGAACAGG
rnacentral:rRNA from 1 species